rnacentral:tRNA from 1 species
GUUAAAUCAUUUAAAGCACGAAAAAAACUUGUAAUUGCAAAUAACGAAUCAUUUAACC